UGCAGCCAUAACCACCCUGAGCGUGCUUGAUCUCAUCUGAUGUUGGAAGCUAAGCAGGGUCAGGCCAGGUUAGUACUUGGAUGGGAGGAAAGAAUCUGCCACAUCUAUAU
rnacentral:rRNA from 1 species